UACGGGGGGAGCAAGCGUUGUUCGGAUUUACUGGGCGUAAAGGGCGCGUAGGCGGCCACCGCAAGUCGACUGUGAAAUCUCCGGGCUUAACCCGGAAAGGUCAGCCGAUACUGCGGGGCUAGAGUGCAGAAGGGGCAACUGGAAUUCUCGGUGUAGCGGUGAAAUGCGUAGAUAUCGAGAGGAACACCUGCGGCGAAGGCGGGUUGCUGGGCUGACACUGACGCUGAAGUGCGAAAGCGUGGGUAGCAAACAGG
rnacentral:rRNA from 1 species